UCUUCCUAUUCUUUAAAACCAAGUGUGUCAUCUGAUGGAAAAAUGCUGCUACCAGAGAUGAAGACCCAGCAGGAGCCCAAUGUGAGCACUGCCAAGCUGCCCCAGAGCCCAGUAUGAGCCCUGCAAGAGAAGAGGGAAAAAUAAGUUCCCUAUGGGCAGGUUUGGAGAUGCCCCUUCUGGUUCUCCUGCAGCACCACCAAGUGAUUGGAAGCAAGAGCUGCUCAGACGUGAUGGAGACAAUGGAGCUGAACCUCUCCUAGAAAAAUCACAGGCCACAGGGAGAUGCAAAACCUUCAAGGACAGCUUCUACAGAGCUGGAGUGUUGCCAUGAUGUACUCUCUCUCUCCUGACAUUCAAAAAGAGUAAGGGGAUGCUGACAAGGGGAUGGAGCGACUUCUGCCCAAGGAACCCUGAGAUAAGCCAAGGCACUUCA
rnacentral:lncRNA from 1 species